rnacentral:rRNA from 1 species
CCUACGGGAGGCAGCAGUAGGGAAUCUUCCACAAUGGGCGAAAGCCUGAUGCAGCAACGCCGCGUGGGUGAAGAAGGACUUCGGAUCGUAAAACCCUGUUGUUAGAGAAGAAAGUGCGUGAGAGUAACUGUUCACGUUUCGACGGUAACUAACCAGAAAGCCCCGGCUAACUACGUGCCAGCAGCCGCGGCAAUACGUAGGUGGCAAGCGUUAUCCGGAUUUAUUGGGCGUAAAGGGAACGCAGGCGGUCUUGUAAGUCUGAUGUGAAAGCCUUCGGCUUAACCGGAGUAGUGCAUUGGAAACUGGGAGACUUGAGUGCAGAAGAGGAGAGUGGAACUCCAUGUGUAGCGGUGAAAUGCGUAGAUAUAUGGAAGAACACCAGUGGCGAAAGCGGCUCUCUGGUCUGUAACUGACGCUGAGGUUCGAAAGCGUGGGUAGCAAACAGGAUUAGAUACCCGGGUAGUC